CUGCACUGAUGACAUCUUAGGACACCUUUGAAUGAACAGUGAAACCAAACGUUGAUGCUGAGCGGC
ensembl:snoRNA SNORD58 Small nucleolar RNA SNORD58